UGGGGAAUAUUGGACAAUGGGGGGAACCCUGAUCCAGCAAUGCCGCGUGCGUGACGAAGGCCUUAGGGUUGUAAAACUCUUUCGUCGGGGACGAUAAUGACGGUACCCGAAGAAGAAGCUCCGGCUAACUUCGUGCCAGCAGCCGCGGUAAUACGAAGGGAGCUAGCGUUGUUCGGAAUCACUGGGCGUAAAGGGCGCGUAGGCGGCAAUUCAAGUCAUCUGUGAAAUCUCCGGGCUUAACUCGGAACGGUCAGAUGAUACUGCUUUGCUAGAGUGCAGAAGGGGCAAUCGGAAUUCUUGGUGUAGCGGUGAAAUGCGUAGAUAUCAAGAGGAACACCUGAGGUGAAGACGGGUUGCUGGGCUGACACUGACGCUGAGGCGCGAAAGCCAGGGGAG
rnacentral:rRNA from 1 species